AUUCUACCCAUGUGGGGAAGGAUGAGAAGCUUCGACUAAGGUUCGAUUCGAGCGAAAGCGAGAAAGCGUUGCCGCAGGCAACGACCCGAAGGGCGAAGCGCGCAGCGCUGAGUCAUCCUUCCCCCUCAUCCU
rnacentral:sRNA from 2 species